GAUGAACGCUGGCGGCGUGCCUAAUACAUGCAAGUCGAGCGAACAGACGAGGAGCUUGCUCCUCUGACGUUAGCGGCGGACGGGUGAGUAACACGCGGAUAACCUACCUAUAAGACUGGGAUAACUUCGGGAAACCGGAGCUAAUACCGGAUAAUAUAUUGAACCGCACGGUUCAAUAGUGAAAGACGGUUUUGCUGUCACUUAUAGAUGGAUCCGCGCCGCAUUAGCUAGUUGGUAAGGUAACGGCUUACCAAGGCAACGAUGCGUAGCCGACCUGAGAGGGUGAUCGGCCACACUGGAACUGAGACACGGUCCAGACUCCUACGGGAGGCAGCAGUAGGGAAUCUUCCGCAAUGGGCGAAAGCUUGACGGAGCAACGCCGCGUGAGUGAUGAAGGUCUUCGGAUCGUAAAACUCUGUUAUUAGGGAAGAACAAAUGUGUAAGUAACUAUGCACGUCUUGACGGUACCUAAUCAGAAAGCCACGGCUAACUACGUG
rnacentral:rRNA from 1 species